UCUGCCUCUGCAGCCGCAGCACCUCCCGCUGGGACUCGCGCAGCAGCCCAUCGAAGUCCCACACGUAGAGCCACUGGGGACCCUCCUGAGGGGAUGUGUGGAUGCAUACAGCCAGACCCACCGGCAAACAGCCUCAAGCCUGGAGCGCAGAAAUGCCCAGGUCUGGGACUCAUGGCUCCACCCCUGUCUCCCUCUCCCACCUGGGCCGUUGCCAGGGGAACCUACUCCCAGCAACCUCCACCCUCCCGUUCAUUUGCAUCUCAUUAACAUCUUGUCCGCAUCCCACAACAGGCAGAUGGCCCUGUGCAGGGCUGAGCUGGAAGAGGUAACCAGGGCCUCCUCGCACCUUGCCCACCAGAGUGAGCCUGGCCUGCAGCUCCCUGCACUCCCGCUGCAAGGCAGCAAUCUGCUUGUCCUUGGCCAGCAGUGCACUGGCUGUCUCACUGAGGUCCCGGGCUCGCUGGCUGGCUAGGGCCUUCCGACACAACUCCAAGCUGGCCCCUGGCCGGCCAGGGCAAGGGGGCACUCACCUCGCCAGAGGAGGGCGGUUGGAAAGGAUUAACUCCACAUCUGAGUUUAGGAUCAAAGGAUGCUGCUAAUUUGGGGCUGCCACUGUGAUGGGUCUCAUCCCUGCCCCCACUCCAGCUCUAUACCCUGAGAUGAGCUCAGCAGGAGGCUGCCGCCAGCACCAGCACGUGGUAAUCCAGAAUCCUGCUCCCUGCCUGCUCAGGAACCUCCCCAUCCAGCUCUUCUCUGCCCCCUGCAGCGCCAGAAACUUUUGGCCUCCUUGCCUGGCCAGCCUCUGCCCUUCCUGCACCUUAGCCCCUAGAUUCUUGCUUUCCUAGGUGCUGAGACUGUGACUCCCAAGCUUCAGACAACCCUCAGGCCCAGCCCUGGCUCCCCUCUUCCUUGGUCACCCAGCCUCCACCCAGCAGCCUCCCCUACAUUGACGGACAAGUCAAU